rnacentral:rRNA from 1 species
CAGGGAAUCGUGCACAAUGGACGCAAGUCUGAUGCCGUGACGCCGCGUGAAGGAUGAAGGCCUUCGGGUUGUAAACUUCUUUUGACCCGCCAGAGAUGGCGGGUAGAAUCAGCACCGGCUAACUUCGUGCCAGCAGCAGCGGUAAUACGAAGGGUGUAAGCGUUGCCCGGAUUUAUUGGGCGUAAAGUGUUUCGUAGGCGCCUCAUCGCAUCUUGUUUCAAAGCUUCUAGCUUAACUAGAAAAAGGGACAAGAGAUGGAUGGGGUUGAAGAUUGUUGGGGUUACUGGAACUGUCGGUGUAGGGGUGAAAUCCGUUGAUAUCGACAGGAACUCCGAAGGCGAAGGCGAGUAACUAAGCAAUUCUUGACGCUGAGGAACGACAGCUAGGGGAGCGAAUGGGAUUAGAGACCCCAGUAGUCCUAGCCGUAAACUAUGUCCGCUAGCUUUUCUCCGCCUUAGGCGGAGGGGGCGUAAGCUAACGCGUGAAGCGGACCGCCUGGGGAGUACGAACGCAAGUUUA